ensembl:lncRNA
UGUCCCAAACUAAUCACCCCUUGCUCACCACCAUGGCCACUGGGAAACAAGGGGUAAUGUAUCUGCCGUGUGCCAAGCACCAAGCUCAGCUUUGCUGCCUCCUCCUCUUGUUUCCCAGAUGCCCUGUAAGAUAGGUACUAUCAUACCCAUUUCACGGAGGUGGAGACUGAGGCUCAGCUAGGACAGCCCACUUGCCUGAGCCCACCCUCAUGCUGAAUGGUAAAGCUUGGAAGGGACAAGCUUUCCAAUCAGGGCUCCUGACACUAUCUACUGCUCUCCCUAUUAGUCCUUAACCCAGAAUUCCCCCUAGGAAGUAAUUUUUUCCUAUUAAGGGAUGCUCCUCUGCUAAAAUGUAGCACUAUGUCAAAUAAGUCUAAAAUUUCAUUUAAAAAACUGAACACUAUUUUCUACCCAGGGGUAAAAACAACUGUGAACUCUUCUAAGGAAGGAAAGGGGUUUUUUGUUCUUCUUGUGUCUUCACUGCCUAUCACAAGGUCUGGCAUGGAGUAGGGGUUGAAUAAAUGUUUGUUGAAUGACUGUGUGAACGUAAGUGAGUAAUUGAAAGCAGCUGCCUCACCAAUCCAUGGCCCAUCCACGUAGGAUCAUUUGGGCAAGAUGAGACCCUCUAACCUAGUGGUCACAGACAUAGCAUGAGGGCUGUACCGUUCAUAAGAAGGCUUUGUUUAAUCCACAUAAUAUCUUUUGUAAAAAUUUAAUGACUUGCCAAUAUUUAAGAAUUAGAAAAUUUCACAUAUAAUCCAGAUUUUCACCUUGUGGCAGAGACUUUCACCAAAAGUCUGCCUUUCACCAAACCUACACCCUAUUUUUCCCUGAACAGAACAAGACUCAAUUUCCCAGCCUCGCUCUUGGUUAUGUGGACCAUGUGACUACAUUGUAGCCCGUGGAAUGUGGGCAGAGUAUUAACAAUAUGUCCUACUUCCUGCCCACUCCUCCCUCCCCACCCUCCANACUCUUUUCUGGGUCUGUGGGGCAGGUGGGGAAGAUCCAGGGGAGGCCCCUAGGCCUAAGGAGAUGGCAGAACCACCAGAUGAAAGGCAUGGGGCCCCUGCAUGGCUGUGGGGAGCCCCCUGCUGGCCCACAUUGGACUGUGGUGGGAACAGGAAAUAACAACUUUACCAUAUUAAGGCAAUGUGCUUUGGGAUUUUUUGUUACAGCAUCCUAUCCUGACUAAUACAUCUUCUCUUGAAGAAUCAGAAAUCUCACAACACGGGCCUUACUCUUCUACACGGCAGUGAGGAGCUGGACUUUGGUAGCUGUUGUCCCCUUCAGCUGGGCUGGCGUUUUCUAAGCUCACCUGAUCCUUGCUCUCCAUCUGCCUGGUUUCUCCGGCUAUUUGAUUUUACAGCUUCUGCUCAAAUUUAAUCUCUCCCUCCAGUAUAUGGGGAUAUUGAGGCAUGGAGGGGACAAGGGUCCAGGUCACAGUGUGUGUGAAGGGCAGAGCUGAAACUUGGGCUGAAUUCUCCUAACUCCUACUCCAGGCUUCUUCCUGGGGGUGUGGGGGGAUUCUUAGGAAGUGAGAAAAGAGGGACUGUUCCAAGCUUCGGUCCUUUUGGGGUAGAGGGGGAGUUAAGUGGCCGAGAGGGAAAGGGGGCACCCCAGAUGGUGGAGGGGAUGAAAACAGGAGGGGAAACCCUGGCUCCUCUGUGACUCCAGUUGGCAUAAGGCUUAGAAGUGUUGGACAGGUGGACUGAGGAGCUCAUGUCUUUGAUUGCUUAAGCUCCACUGACAAGACACAGGAACGCUGGAAGAAAUUUUCCCUCCCAGACAAAUCCCCAAAGAAGUGAAUUUGCAAAAUAAAAUCCCAUAUUGAGAAAGCUGUGCCAGGAAUGUCCGAGCAAGCAGGCAGCAGGGGAGGGAGUUCUGUGAGGUGUGGACAGAGCUGUCCAGAUGAGGCCUCUCUCAGGGGUCGUGCUGGGGUGGGGGCUUUGCCCCCUGCAACAGUCAUUCUAACUCCCUAAUACCUUGUUGUUGCUGUUUAGUCACUAAGCUGUGUCUGACCCUUUGUGACCCCAUGGACUGUAGCCCGCCAGGCUCCUCUNNNNNNNNNNNNNNNNNNNNNNNNNNNNNNNNNNNNNNNNNNNNNNNNNNNNNNNNNNNNNNNNNNNNNNNNNNNNNNNNNNNNNNNNNNNNNNNNNNNGGCAGCUGGUGUGUUAGCAGCAGGGUGAGCAGGGAAGGCAGUGGGGGGAAGACACUCGGGCAGCUGUGUCAGACCCUCCUCAACCCCAGGACACAGCUCAGGGUGCUGACAAGGCUGCUGCAAUAAACAUCCUUACCAAGGAAACACCAUACUAAUAAAGCAGGCUAAACAGAACUAUGUAAACGGGUAUGUUGUUGUUUUAGUCGCUAACAACUGUCCGACUUUUUGUGACCCCAUAGACUGUAGCCCGCCAGGCUCCUCUAUCCACUGAAUUUACCAGACAAGAGAAAUUACCAGACAAGAAAAUUUACCAUUUUCUCCUCCAGGGGACCUCCAGGGUUCAAAGUCAUGUCUCCUGCUUGGCAGGUGAAUUCUUUACCACUGAGCCACCAGGGAAGC